GACGAACGCUGGCGGCGUGCUUAACACAUGCAAGUCGAACGGAAAGGCCCUGCUUUUGUGGGGUGCUCGAGUGGCGAACGGGUGAGUAACACGUGAGUAACCUGCCCUUGACUUUGGGAUAACUUCAGGAAACUGGGGCUAAUACCGGAUAGGAGCUCCUGCUGCAUGGUGGGGGUUGGAAAGUUUCGGCGGUUGGGGAUGGACUCGCGGCUUAUCAGCUUGCUGGUGGGGUAGUGGCUUACCAAGGCUUUGACGGGUAGCCGGCCUGAGAGGGUGACCGGCCACAUUGGGACUGAGAUACGGCCCAGACUCCUACGGGAGGCAGCAGUGGGGAAUAUUGCACAAUGGGCGGAAGCCUGAUGCAGCAACGCCGCGUGCGGGAUGACGGCCUUCGGGUCGUAAACCGCUUUCGCCUGUGACGAAGCGUGAGUGACGGUAAUGGGUAAAGAAGCACCGGCUAACUACGUG
rnacentral:rRNA from 1 species